rnacentral:misc_RNA from 1 species
UCACAGGUCCUCCGACUUGCGUGUGUGCGUGCGUCUCAUUUUGUUUCCUUCCGUCGGGUCUCUUCUCUCUUUCUGCCUGCCGCUGCACCGCUUCCUGUGUUGUGAGUGUGUUUUGAAGCGCCGAGUUAUCAUGGCGGGCAAGACGGUGCGGGCGCUGCACCUUGAGGGCAACAAACUCUUCGAGGCGGGGCGCUUCAACGAGGCCGCGCGCGCGUUCCGCGACGCCGUGGAUCGCUUUCAGGCGGAUCAGCUCUCGACAAAAUCAGCCGUGGAGGAGUUCGUCAAGGUCGCCGGUAAUUUGUGUGUCUGCCACCACGCAACGGGUAACUGGCACGAGUGCGUCAAGGCGGCCCGCGAGUUACUCGCCAUCUAUCCGAUCAUACCCAAGGCCUACGCCGCGAUAGGGAUGUGCAUUGUGAACCGGCUGCUGGAGCAGGAGGCAGAGCAGCGAGCGAUGGAUGCGCAGAACAGCCCGAGGAUGCCGCCUCGGUCAAGCGAGGAGGUGCGGCGUGAUGUGCGGCGGUACUUGGUAAAGCUGGGCGGUGUGGUGUGUACAGCUGACGACGCCCACAAGUACCUGUGCCGCGCGAUUCUCUUGUCGGAAGGGGCGCUGCAGGUGCCCCUGGGCCCUUAUGUGGAGACGGCUGUGCGGUGGGUGAGCGAGCAGCUGCUGUCGGCCGGGCUCUCUUUAGAGCGUGAAUACGGCGACGACGUGAUGGGUGAGCUAAGCGUCCUGGAGGAGAGUGUUUGUGAUCCGCCGCCACUGCUGGAUGUGGCACCGGUGCCCAUUGAGCGUCACUCAAUUCGUGUGUUGGACGCCGUGGACAUGAGCGGCACUGCCCCUGAGGGCUGCCGCGUCGAGGAGCUUCCUGAGGCCGAGGCGGAGGGGAUUCUGCAGGCCAUUCAGGAGGGUCAGCGUGCCGCUCGGGGCGAGGCGGCUGACUCACCGUCUCCUGCCGCGGAGAGCGAUGCUGCCGGCACCUCCACCGCCACGGACCACAGUGGCAGCAUUUUCAACAACGCGAGCAGCCGCGGCAGCCACGCCGCAGUGGCACCGCCGCUGGACUACUUCCUGUCACAGCAGCGCACACGCGUGCGGGUGUGUCACGCCGAGAGGGGGGGUAUUCCUCGCGGCCUCACCCUCGUCCGUGCGUCGAAGCCGUUUGCUAUUGGCCAGCACAUACUGCCCGCCGCGCCUGCGGACCUCACCGCCGUGGCUGGUGCUGGAGUGCCGUCGCCAGCGGUGCCCCUUGCUUUGCCAUCCUCUACCCAAGGGGAGCUGGCGCUGCUGCACGCCGACCCCGCUACCUCCUCUAGUGCGGAGGGCGCCUUCGCAUUGCACGCCCUGUCGUCUUCGCUCGCGCAGACCGGCAGCGGCGAUGCGCUCUCGAUGAGGGAUCUGCCCACUUCGGAAUCACCGCCGCUUCUCAUGUGCAGCGCUUGUGGCCGGGAGCUGAACCCGGUGCAGUUUGCUGAUGCCUCGCCCACUGGCUGCUCCACGUGCAACGGCGUCGUGUACUGCAGUGCGGCGUGCGCGGUGGCCUACCGAGAUCGCCAUGACCGGCACGAGUGCGCCCUUCGUCUGGCGCUUCAGCGGCGCGUGGAGGCGUUGACCGCAGUGCCGCCAUCCACCGAUUCCGAAACCCCGCUGCCCGUCGGCGACGUUCUCCCAGGCGGCGGGUGGAAUGCUCUAGAUUUGCAUCGCCGCAUUCUGCCGCUCUGUAUCGCGGUGUACAGCGGUCUGCGGAGCAGGGCGCCUGGCGCAGCGGAGGUGCAGGCACAGGUUGAGCGCGGGGUACAGCGGCGCCUUCGCCAUGCACUUCCAGCUGAGGUCGCCGAAACCCUUGCCGAGUGGGCGAAGACGCUGGAGUCUGCGCUGGCCGCAUCAGCGUCGACGACUGGCACCGCAUCCUCGGCUCUGCCGCCGCAGGACGAGGAGGAGGGCAAACAGCGUGGCGACCAGCAGUGCGACCACCUCACCGAUGCGGCCACGCCCACCUCUUGCGCUGCCGCCGGCGAGAAGCCGUCUCUUGCAGCCCAUCUCCUCGCAAUCUUCUUCAUAGUGCGGCUCCUCGCUGUCAACCAUGCGGAGAGCCGCUGCAACGCCUUCUAUGUCGAGCGGCUCCUUCUCCGACACUCAUGCGAGCCGAACUGCAUAUGGUCCGACACGCUGCGCGGCAUCCUCACGGCCCGCUUUAUCUGCAAAGGCGAGGAGAUGACUAUGGCUGUCGACGACUGCUUCCCACAGCAUUGGCCGUGGCAGGUUCGACAGAAAUGGUUUGUGUACCAUCACGGGGUGCCGUGCCAGUGUGCGCGGUGCCUGCGGGAGGGGGCCGACCUGCACUACUCGCGUGGCAUGCUCGCAAAUGCAGUGGUGGAGCAGCUGCUAACGGCGGACGUCAUGGGUCAUCCGUGCCCGACACCGGCGCACAAGCACCCCACGCACCUCUUUCACCUGCCGGUUCAGAGGCUGGUCGAGCAGAGCAAGUCCCCACGGCAGCGCAACGUGCCUGCGUUGCUGUGCCGCCUUGAUGAGAUGCGCGCCGAGGUGGGCAAGUACGUGUUGCCCUCGCACUAUCUGCUGGAAGACAUUCGGCGCGCCAUGCUGAACGUGGCGGAGGCGGAGGGCCACCUCACUGGGUGCACUGCCGAGGCACAGCGCAGCCUCCUGUUCUGGGAGUCACAGUGGGCUGGUGCGAUUCCGGCGAAGGCGCAGCGGCUGCGCCUACUUCCAAGCGUCUUCGAGUGCGGCCGCCGGCGUAAGCCUCACCCACAUCAGCAGCUCCGCCGCCGACGUAACACAAGGCAACCGGCAACCAGCGCAUCUGCUCUGGCCGAGCAGCUGCAAGGCACCUCGCCGGAGCGGAGAGAGAGCGUCUCGCCGCCGUCGCCGGUUCCAACGCCGAUGGACGUGUCGCACGGCAGCAGCGGGACUGCGUUUUCCGCCGUACACGCCUUCCGCCCAGCAGGGGAGGGCUAUGGCGACCACGAGGCAAACAAGGCUGAGGUUGCAUCCGCUGUUGCCACCGCCGCUGCGCCACCACGCACGCCGGUACCGGCACCUCUCAUUGCCACGAAAGACUUCUCUGGCCGCAACAUCAUUGACAUUUUCUAUGGCUCCUACCAGACGUGGUAUAUGUGAAUGGGAGGGCAGGCGAUAAGGUGCGGCGACGCUCACGUGUGACCUGCUUUAUUGCAGAGAGUGGGGCGGGGACAGAGGGCGAAGACACAGCUGUAACGACUACGCUUGCAUGCAUUUUUCCACUCUCGCACGUAUGCAUAUGUUAGGUGCCCGGAGACCUUCUCUUGGCAAUGCUGCCGUCUACCCGAAUCCGAGGAGGCGCAUGCAUCGCGUGUGAAGGGAGUGGGGAGAAGGAGGAGGGGAGUGGAGGGGCCGCAGCGAGGUCGCGCACGCUGUCAUGCUGCACAUUUCCUUUUACUCGACGCCCCCCCCCCCCCCUCCCUCUUGCUCGCCCGCGUCGCGCAUGCGUUGCUUUCCUUUGCUUCUGUCUCCGGCGCACUUGCCACGCUUUCAAUGGCCAAACCGAAGAAGGAGGCUCACUGCCAACGCAC